CACUCUCAUACAGAUGCACACACACUCUCAUACAGAUGCACACAAACACUCAUACAGAUGCACACAAACACUCAUACAUACAGAUGCACACACACUCUCAUACAGAUGUGCACACACACUCUCAUACAGAUACACAAAAACUCUCAUACAGAUGCGCACACACACUCUCAUACAGAUGCACACACACACUCUCAUACAGAUACAAAACACAGAUACACUGAUUCUCUCAACUCCCAUACAUCUCAAUAUGUCACUUUAUAUAAAAAAAACACAAGUACUGUGGGAAAACAUACACAUAUAGCCAACCUCAUAUUUUUAGACAGAAGCAUUGGAGUUGUCUUAAAGGAUUACUAUAAUACAAGCAGCUGCUGACUCAGUAAAGAAAAUAUCUAUUUUUAAAUAGGAAUCCCCAACCCCCUACCCUCAGAAACCCUUUUUCCAUGUGACUUUCCUUCAGUAAACAUGCUCUGCACAGCAGCCAUAUCUACCAGCAGGAAGACAGAUACAACACAGCCCUGAGAAGGAAUGGGGGAAAUGAGAGCAGGGAGGAGGGGAGACUAUAAAGAGCAGACCAGGAGGAUCGUUUGGAAUUUGAUAAAGCCUAAGGGAAAUCCUUGCAGGGCAGCAGAGGGAACUUUACAACAACUUUGUAUCACAGUCAUCUGGAUUUCAGCCAAGCAAGAGCAAUAAACAGUAACUCAGAAGCUGGACAUGCAAAUGAAAAUAAAUGAACUGCUGAGCAAACCGCAAGUAUUAAAGUACAUGUACUAAAGAAGCUGACACUCCUCCUAGCUCCUAACCGGAACUUCCACAGAACAGACUGAGCAUUCUAUCAGCUUUGCCACGCUACAAGUGCAUGAGAAGAAAAGUUAUCCCACAGAAAGGAUCAAGGUUUUCAGUACAAUAUCAUUCCUGAGGGGUAAGUCAAGAACCUGGGCAGAAAAUUUGUGCGAACAUAACGACCCAGUAUUAGGAUCCCUCUCUGACUUCUUUACAUGUAUGGAUGACCUUUUUCACAACACUGAUGUACAAUUGUCUGCUGAAGCCUCGAUGAGGAAUCUCAAGCAAGCAAAGAGACCCGUGGAGGAGUACAUUACGGAAUUCAAAUUAUACGCAGCCAAUUCGGAAUGGAGUCAGAUUGCACUCCGAAACCAACCCAAACAAGCAAACAAACAGUUGUUCCCAUGGAGAUCGGAAUAGCCCGAGGUUCCUUAACAUCUGAAGAAAGAUACUGCAGGAAGAAUAAUAACCUGUGUAUGUAUUGCGCAAGUCCUUUGCACUCAGUCCAGGAGUGUCCCAUUCUGCAGAAAAGCAAAAAAUUGGGGCCAAGAUCAGCUGACAACUGAUGCCAUCAUAGACUCAGGAGCUUAUGGCUGCUUUAUUGAUAAUAAUGUUGUAAAGCAUAAUAAAAUACCCCUUAUUCAAAAACAAA